CAAGCCCUUGAAUGGGGAGAUUACUGCCACGGCCUCAUCUUCCUCAGAUCCACCCCCCACUCUGCCAAUGUACUGUUGAGACAUCUGUAAUGGGAGUUUCUUGCAUCCCCAACUAGGCGGUGACUCUGCCACUGUCGUAAGGAAGCCUGGAAGAGUGAAGAAAGGCCUGAUUGAUCACAAGGUCCUAUCAAAUGUCAAAGCUGGCCCUGGCUGACCUCCCAUCUAUUCAGAGCUGCUUUGAUUUAAUCUCUAAACUGGCUGCAUCUCCAGGCUUUUCUUUCACAGAAGAAGAUUGAACGCUUAAGUAAGGCAAAGGUGAUAAAAGCAUCUUCACGGAACCCUUACCUAAUAAGAAUUGGCAAAGAAUAAGAUGAUCUGGGUUGAAGAUUUGGCUUUGAGACUCACUACCUAAUGACCAGGGGUCACUGAAGAAUGGGAGCUGGUCACCAGAGGAGCAACUGUGAUUAGAGGGUUGAACUUUCAGGGAAGAGGAGCUAAAGAUUGAAUUCAGUAACCAUUGGUCAAUGAUUUAAUCAAUUAUACCUGUAUAAUGAAGCCUCCUAAAAACCCAAAAGGAGAGAGUUCAGAGAGCUUCUGGGUUGGUGAACAUGCGGAGAUUCCAAGAGAUUGAACCAUUUGGAGAAGGAAUGAAAGCUUUACACUAUUUCCCAAUCUUCCCCACCUUGUCCUAUGCAUCUCUUCCGUCUUCCUGAGGUAUAUCCUGCUAUAAUAAACCAGUAAUCUAGUAA